AUUGAACGCUGGCGGCAUGCCUUACACAUGCAAGUCGAACGGCAGCGCGGACUUCGGUCUGGCGGCGAGUGGCGAACGGGUGAGUAAUACAUCGGAACGUACCCUGUUGUGGGGGAUAACUAGUCGAAAGAUUAGCUAAUACCGCAUACGACCUGAGGGUGAAAGUGGGGGACCGCAAGGCCUCACGCAGCAGGAGCGGCCGAUGUCUGAUUAGCUAGUUGGUGGGGUAAAGGCCCACCAAGGCCACGAUCAGUAGCUGGUCUGAGAGGACGAGCAGCCACAGUGGGGCUGAGACACGGCCCAGACUCCUACGGGAGGCAGCAGUGGGGAAGUUUGGGCAAUGGGGGCAACCCUGAUCCAGCAAUGCCGCGUGUGUGAAGAAGGCCUUCGGGUUGUAAAGCACUUUUGUCCGGAAAGAAAUCGCGCUGGUUAAUACCUGGCGUGGAUGACGGUACCGGAAGAAUAAGCACCGGCUAACUACGUGCCAGCAGCCGCGGUAA
rnacentral:rRNA from 1 species